CUACGGGUUGCACCAGUCAAGAAUCUUUCGCAAUGGCCGAAAGGCUGACGGAGCAAUACCGCGUGAAGGAAGACACCCCUCGGGGCGUAAACUUCUUUUCUAAAGGAUGAAUUCGUGACGUUACUUUAGGAAUAAGCAACUGCUAACUUCGUGCCAGCAGCAGCGGUAAUACGAAGGUUGCAAGCGUUAUCCGGAAUUAUUGGGCGUAAAGCGUCUGUAGGUGGUUUAUCAAGUUUCAAAUUAAAACCCUAAGCUCAACUUAGAGUUAGUUUGAAAAACUGACAAACUAGAGAAUGGGAGAGGUAAGCGGAAUGGCUGGUGUAGUAGUAAUAUGCAUUGAUAUCAGCUAGAACACCAAAUGCAAAGGCAGCUUACUAGAACAUUUCUGACACUGAGAGACGAAAGCGUGGGUAGCGAAUGGGAUUAGAUACCCGAGUAGUC
rnacentral:rRNA from 1 species